CUACCCUAUACCGCGCAUGCCUAGCCCGCCAACGGCUCAGUUCCAUUUUUCCGCCACGGCCUCCCGCUGGGGCCUAAUAGCCCUUAACGGGCUUCCCGCUGAGGCGCCACGCGCCUACCGGAUUUCUCCAAUUAUCCCUCAUUGGACUUCCCCGCUUGAUUCUUUCGACUCGGUUUCCCUCACCGUCGGUCGAAAACCUUACUACUGUCAAGCUUCAUCGUUCCUCUUGGUCUAUGCCUCCUAAAGAAAAGCCAUCUCCCAGGAGAGGACCUUUCCGCCUGUGCACCGCGUGUUCCAGGAAACUUCCCUUUCAGGACGGGCAUUCACUUUGUUUGUACUGCCUGGGAGAGUCGCACGCGGUGUCCCACUGCAGGCAUUGCAAACAGUUCACCAAGGUCACUCUCAAGGCACGUCAGCAACGCCUGAAGUACUCCCUGUGGAAACAAACUUUGUCCGCUUCCCAGCCUUCCCAAAUGGAGGUGGCACCCUCUACCUCUUCCGUGCGCUCCGAAAUCAAAGUCGUCUCGGCGCCGUAAUCGUCUAAGGGAAAGGGACUCAGGCAGUCUUCGAAAGAUAAGUCUAAGAAGAAAAAGACUUCGUCUGUUCUUACCUCCGCAUCGGUCUCGCUGUUUUCAUCGGCCGAGCCUUUGGUUCCACCGGUGUCGGAGCAUCUGAAAAAGAAGUAGGCAUCGACAAAGUCAACGUCGAGAACUAAAGAGCUUACCCUCGUCGUUCCAUCUUUCUCGGUGUCGCUUCCCUCGCCAAUACUUGAAGAUUCCUCUCGGGACCGAGAGUCGGCGUCGGACUUGGCUCCUUCUUUGCCUCUCCAGCAAGAGCCACCGGCCGUUGUCGAGAAAUCACCGACAACGAGCCACUUGGAGAAGAUAGUGGCUGAUUUGCCGAAUGCCCCUCAUAGCCCUAUCUUGACCGGGCUAGGGACAGGAUCCCGGUCUUCCACACCGGGAUCCCCAGGCUCCAAGUCUCCGUCUACACCGGUGAGACCUGUUCAGCCUGUCGAGGCCCCCUCUCCUCGGCUCCCAGCAUCCGAGUUAGAGGAGGAGCCUGCGCCAAGAAAGACCCGGCACCACCGCAAACAUAAACGCAGUUCCGGUGUCGACAGGCGCAAGAAGCACAGACGUCGGGACUAUUCUUCCUCUGACUCCGAUGACAGCAGGGACAGGAAGAGGUGUCGUCGUCGACGUCGUAGGCGGGACGAUUCCUCGGAGUCCUCCUCCUCGACAUCGCGCGAUCGGCGUUGGCACCGGAAGAGGUCUCGAUACACCUCCUCUUCCUCAUCCUCGACAUCACCACCUAGGAAACGCCGGCAUCACAAACGCCCUAUUGUUGGCGAGGAUACCCCCUCGGCGUCGACUAAGUUGACUGAUCCUCCGAGUCAACCAAAGCCAUCUCUCCCUCCUGUGCAUCUGGUGCCUGAACCUGUACCUCAGGCACCUCGACCUCGUAAACCUUCUAAGGCUAAGGAUACCAGCUCUCAUCCUAGCAUCCUCCAAUCAUCGGACGAGGAUAGUCAGGACCUCCAUACCUCUUCUGAGCAGGAGGAUGAGGCCACCUCAGAGGCGUCUCUGAACUUGCCACCUCCAGGCGAACCUCUCGGAUCAAACGCAGCAGAUAUCCAUCCCUCCUCCCCAUCUGAGGACUUUUCUUCAUACCCACAGAUGGUCUCGAGAAUGGCCACAGCUCUUAGGAUGGAGAUAGAAAAAUCUCCUUCGCAUGAGGAUGACCUUAUUUUUGGGGACAUCCAUAAGGACAGGUCCCGUCCCGUCAGCCUUUCAUAUGUUCCCGAACUCAUGGCCCUUAUCAUGGAAUACUGGGAGCAUCCUGCUGAAUCUCCCACUAUGUCCAGACGGACUGAAAACAUGUACCGCGUGCACGGGGCAAAAACCUCGUUCCUUUUGAAACAUCCAGCUCCCAAUUCUUUGGUGGUGGAGUCUAGUGUUUCCAGAUUACCAGCUAAAGGCCAUCCAACUCCAACUACUAAGGAGGGAAAGGACUUAGAGGUUUUAGGUAGAAGGCUCUAUU
rnacentral:lncRNA from 1 species